GAACCGACUAAUGUUGAAAAAUUAGCGGAUGACUUGUGGCUGGGGGUGAAAGGCCAAUCAAACCGGGAGAUAGCUGGUUCUCCCCGAAAGCUAUUUAGGUAGCGCCUCGUGAAUUCAUCUCCGGGGGUAGAGCACUGUUUCGGCAAGGGGGUCAUCCCGACUUACCAACCCGAUGCAAACUGCGAAUACCGGAGAAUGUUAUCACGGGAGACACACGGCGGGUGCUAACGUCCGUCGUGAAGAGGGAAACAACCCAGACCGCCAGCUAAGGUCCCAAAGUCAUGGUUAAGUGGGAAACGAUGUGGGAAGGCCCAGACAGCCAGGAUGUUGGCUUAGAAGCAGCCAUCAUUUAAAGAAAGCGUAAUAGCUCACUGGUCGAGUCGGCCUGCGCGGAAGAUGUAACGGGGCUAAACCAUGCACCGAAGCUGCGGCAGCGACGCUUAUGCGUUGUUGGGUAGGGGAGCGUUCUGUAAGCCUGUGAAGGUGUGCUGUGAGGUAUGCUGGAGGUAUCAGAAGUGCGAAUGCUGACAUAAGUAACGAUAAAGCGGGUGAAAAGCCCGCUCGCCGGAAGACCAAGGGUUCCUGUCCAACGUUAAUCGGGGCAGGGUGAGUCGACCCCUAAGGCGAGGCCGAAAGGCGUAGUCGAUGGGAAACAGGUUAAUAUUCCUGUACUUGGUGUUACUGCGAAGGGGGGACGGAGAAGGCUAUGUUGGCCGGGCGACGGUUGUCCCGGUUUAAGCGUGUAGGCUGGUUUUCCAGGCAAAUCCGGAAAAUCAAGGCCGAGGCGUGAUGACGAGGCACUACGGUGCUGAAGCAACAAAUGCCCUGCUUCCAGGAAAAGCCUCUAAGCAUCAGGUAACAUCAAAUCGUACCCCAAACCGACACAGGUGGUCAGGUAGAGAAUACCAAGGCGCUUGAGAGAACUCGGGUGAAGGAACUAGGCAAAAUGGUGCCGUAACUUCGGGAGAAGGCACGCUGAUACGUAGGUGAAGCGACUUGCUCGUGGAGCUGAAAUCAGUCGAAGAUACCAGCUGGCUGCAACUGUUUAUUAAAAACACAGCACUGUGCAAACACGAAAGUGGACGUAUACGGUGUGACGCCUGCCCGGUGCCGGAAGGUUAAUUGAUGGGGUUAGCGCAAGCGAAGCUCUUGAUCGAAGCCCCGGUAAACGGCGGCCGUAACUAUAACGGUCCUAAGGUAGCGAAAUUCCUUGUCGGGUAAGUUCCGACCUGCACGAAUGGCGUAAUGAUGGCCAGGCUGUCUCCACCCGAGACUCAGUGAAAUUGAACUCGCUGUGAAGAUGCAGUGUACCCGCGGCAAGACGGAAAGACCCCGUGAACCUUUACUAUAGCUUGACACUGAACAUUGAGCCUUGAUGUGUAGGAUAGGUGGGAGGCUUUGAAGUGUGGACGCCAGUCUGCAUGGAGCCGACCUUGAAAUACCACCCUUUAAUGUUUGAUGUUCUAACGUGGACCCGUGAUCCGGGUUGCGGACAGUGUCUGGUGGGUAGUUUGACUGGGGCGGUCUCCUCCUAAAGAGUAACGGAGGAGCACGAAGGUUGGCUAAUCCUGGUCGGACAUCAGGAGGUUAGUGCAAUGGCAUAAGCCAGCUUGACUGCGAGCGUGACGGCGCGAGCAGGUGCGAAAGCAGGUCAUAGUGAUCCGGUGGUUCUGAAUGGAAGGGCCAUCGCUCAACGGAUAAAAGGUACUCCGGGGAUAACAGGCUGAUACCGCCCAAGAGUUCAUAUCGACGGCGGUGUUUGGCACCUCGAUGUCGGCUCAUCACAUCCUGGGGCUGAAGUAGGUCCCAAGGGUAUGGCUGUUCGCCAUUUAAAGUGGUACGCGAGCUGGGUUUAGAACGUCGUGAGACAGUUCGGUCCCUAUCUGCCGUGGGCGCUGGAGAACUGAGGGGGGCUGCUCCUAGUACGAGAGGACCGGAGUGGACGCAUCACUGGUGUUCGGGUUGUCAUGCCAAUGGCACUGCCCGGUAGCUAAAUGCGGAAGAGAUAAGUGCUGAAAGCAUCUAAGCACGAAACUUGCCCCGAGAUGAGUUCUCCCUGACCCUUUAAGGGUCCUGAAGGAACGUUGAAGACGACGACGUUGAUAGGCCGGGUGUGUAAGCGCAGCGAUGCGUUGAGCUAACCGGUACUAAUGAACCGUGAGGCUUAACCUUACAACGCCGAAG
rnacentral:rRNA from 1 species